rnacentral:rRNA from 1 species
ACAGAGGUCCCAAGCGUUGUUCGGAUUCACUGGGCGUAAAGGGUGCGUAGGUGGCAGUGCAAGUUUGAUGUGAAAGCUCAGGGCUUAACCCUGAAAUGGCAUUGAAUACUGCAUGGCUGGAGGUUUGGAGGGGGGACUGGAAUUCUUGGUGUAGCAGUGAAAUGCGUAGAUAUCAAGAGGAACACCAGUGGCGAAGGCGAGUCCCUGGACAACACCUGACACUGAGGCACGAAAGCCGGGGGAGCAAACAGGAUUAGAUACCCUGGUAGUCCCGGCCCUAAACGGUGCACGCUUGCUGUAAGAGGAAUCGACCCCUCUUGUGGCGAAGCUAACGCGAUAAGCGUGCCGCCUGGGGAGUACGGUCGCAAGAUUA